GACGAACGCUGGCGGCAUGCCUAAUACAUGCAAGUCGAGCGAACAGAUGAAGUGCUUGCACUUCUGACGUUAGCGGCGAACGGGUGAGUAACACGUAAGGAAUCUACCUAUAAGCGGGGGAUAACAUUCGGAAACGGGUGCUAAUACCGCAUAAUAUCUUCUUCCGCAUGGAAGAAGAUUGAAAGACGGCUCUGCUGUCACUUAUAGAUGACCUUGCGGUGCAUUAGUAGGUGGGUGGGGUAACGGCCUACCAGGACGAUGAUGCAUAGCCGACCUGAGAGGGUGAUCGGCCACAUUGGGACUGAGACACGGCCCAAACUCCUACGGGAGGCAGCAGUAGGGAAUCUUCCGCAAUGGGCGAGAGCCUGACGGAGCAAUGCCGCGUGAGUGAAGAAGGCCUUCGGGUCGUAAAACUCUGUUAUAAGAGAAGAACAAAUUGUAGAGUAACUGCUACAGUCUUGACGGUAUCUUAUCAGAAAGCCACGGCUAACUACGUGCCAGCCGCCGCAGUAA
rnacentral:rRNA from 1 species